rnacentral:rRNA from 1 species
AGAGUUUGAUCAUGGCUCAGAAUGAACGCUGGCGGCAGGCCUAACACAUGCAAGUCGAACGGAUCCUUCGGGAUUAGUGGCGGACGGGUGAGUAACGCGUGGGAACAUACCCUUUGGUACGGAAUAGCCUCGGGAAACUGGGAGUGAUACCGUAUGUGCUCUUCGGAGGAAAGAUUUAUCGCCCAAGGAUGAGCCCGCGUAGGAUUAGCUAGUUGGUGAGGUAAAAGGGCUCACCAAGGCGACGAUCCUUAGCUGGUCUGAGAGGAUGAUCAGCCACACUGGGACUGAGACACGGCCCAGACUCCUACGGGAGGCAGCAGUGGGGAAUAUUGGACAAUGGGCGAAAGCCUGAUCCAGCAAUGCCGCGUGAGUGAUGAAGGCCUUAGGGUUGUAAAGCUCUUUUACCCGGGAUGAUAAUGACAGUACCGGGAGAAUAAGCUCCGGCUAACUCCGUG